rnacentral:rRNA from 1 species
CGGACGGGUGAGUAACACGUGGAUAACCUACCUAUAAGACUGGGAUAACUACGGGAAACCGGAGCUAAUACCGGAUAAUAUAUUGAACCGCAUGGUUCAAUAGUGAAAGACGGUUUUGCUGUCACUUAUAGAUGGAUCCGCGCCGCAUUAGCUAGUUGGUAAGGUAACGGAUUACCAAGGCAACGAUGCGUAGCCGACCUGAGAGGGUGAUCGGCCACACUGGAACUGAGACACGGUCCAG